rnacentral:rRNA from 1 species
UACGAAGGGGGCUAGCGUUGUUCGGAAUCACUGGGCGUAAAGCGCGCGUAGGCGGCCUCGUAAGUCGUGCUGUGAAAGUCAAGGGCUCAACCCUUGGAUGCCGGUGGAGUACUGCGAGGCUAGAGUCCGGAAGAGGCGAGUGGAACUCCUGGUGUAGCGGUGGAAUGCGCAGAUAUCAGGAAGAACACCAACGGCGAAGCAGCUCGCUGGGACGGUACUGACGCUGAGACGCGAAAGCGUGGGGAGCGAACAGG